CGGGAGAGGAGGACCGCAGGGCCGGCAGGACGGGGCCCGAGGGACCGCAGGCCGGGGCGGGCGGUGCAGGGCGGGGCCGGGGCCGGGGCUGCGGCACCCACCGGGCGGCCCUUGGCGGGACCGCGCCGGGGUCCGCACCCGGGCCGGCACACCCCGCUCCGCGCCAGGACCCCGCGCCAGGACCCCGCGCCGACACCUCGCUCCCCACCGGGCCCGCUGCCCCGGGAAAGCACCGUCCGUCCGCCCGCCCGCCGGUGGGGUCCCGGCGGUUCCCGGGACGGAGAGGAGGCGGGGAGGUGCAGGAGGGAGGAGAGGGGUCCCGGUGUCCCCGCCGCCCUGCUGGAAGAGGGGAAGCGGAGGGAAAGCUCAGAUUCACCCUUCCCAGCGUCGCGGUGAAGCCCAGGACACAGCUGCAAGUGGCCAAACCGUGACGGGACGAUGCCAUCCUGCCACCCGCCUGGCCCUGACCCCGUCCCGUCACCGGCACCGCUGCCAUCCCCUUCGUCCCCCGCCAAUGCCGGCGGGUAGAGGCUGCUCACCUGGCAUCCCGAGCGUGGGGCUGAGACGUGGGCCCCGCUUUCUCCCGUGGGGCAGUGGCGAUGGGGGCUGCUCUCUCCACCGGAGCGAUCGUGGCAAUUUCUUUUAACUGCGUGAUCGCGUUGCUCAUCCUCAUCCUCUUCCUCAUCCUCUGCAAGGCCUGCAGGACCCCCUCGUGCCCCAAGAAGAGCCCGGGUUCCGAUGUGGACGAGGCAAAGAACGAAGAGAAGUACCUGCUGCAGCCCUGAGCUGCCGGGGGACCUGGGUGCCCGGCUGUGCUGAAGGAGUUGUGCCAGGCUGGAUGCCAGCGCUGGGACUGGGUGGCUGGUCCAGGCAGGAUGAAAGCAGGGGGGAUACCAAGCCGCUCGCCGGGGCUGUGACGUGGGUUGCAGCCUUUCUCCUGCGUGGUUUUGGUGUGUGAAGUCCCUGCGGAUGCCCACAGUGACCAUGGUGAUGGAGAGACAGCGGUCGGGGACGUGCUUGGCGGACAAUCCUGCCUGUCCCAGCGGCCAGCGAGCGCAGCAGGAGCCCUGCCCUCGAGCACAUCCCGUGUUCGGGGACAGCCCAUGGGCUCCUCCCGGGUCCCUGUGGCCUGGGCUGGUGACCACCGUGUCACAGACCUGAGCUGGGCCAGCCGGGAGCUCGGAGAGGGGAGGCAGAGGGGCUGGCAGGGGUGCCUGUCCCCGAGCAGGCUGGUGGGAUGUGCCUAGCGGGGGGGACCGUAGCAGCGCUGGCCCUGCUGGCAGAGCGGGUGUCUUUGGGGAUGGCUCUGGGGUGUCGUGCGCCCCCAGCCUCAGGUUAUUCGGCACCCAUCUGUCCCAGCAGCCAGUUCAAUGAGCCAUGAGAGGGUCUGCAUGGUCUGUCCGUUCGUCUGCGGUCUGUCUGUCAAUCCCCUCCAGCGUUAGCACCAACACUGCCAGGCAAACCGCCCUCCUCCUCCUCCCUGGGCGCCUGUCCCUGCCUGCCCUCCUGCCUGCUCCCAGCCGAGGCCGGCCGGUGGGGUUUGGCCCGUGGGCAGCAGACGUGCCCUCCUUGGUGUCCCCAUCCCCCCUGAGUGCAGCCUGGCAUGGCUUGUUUCUGGGGAGGUGGGAGACAUGGGGAUAAGAUGAGGGUGCCCAGCGUGAAGGGUCUUCCGACCCUGUUGCUCCCCGGGGACCAGAGUGGCUCCGCAGGGAAGGAUGCUGGUGGUCUGCCUUGCCCCCGAGCCUGGCAGCUGCCUUCCCCUGCCCUGUCUGCAGGUGCUGUGGGUUUCAGAGGGCUCUGCCCUGCCCAUCCUAGAGCUGAGCAAUAGCCAAGGUUCCCUGCUGGCACAGCCGCUGCAAUAAGGGGACAGAGGGGUGGGCUGUGCUGGGAGGGAUGCUGGCCAGGUUCCCUGCGCGGUUCCUCCCCAUGUCAGGUGUAGCUAAUGCAUCCCUUUGCAGAGGUGUUUUUACUAGACUAAUAAACUGAUUGUAGGACCGAGGCGGCGUCUCUGA
rnacentral:lncRNA from 1 species